UGAGUUGUAAAAUAGUAAUAGAUGAAUUGUAAAUAUCAAAUGGAUAGGAUAGUGCUACUGGGACCGAUGGUCCCAACCGAUAGUGAACUGAUGCAGUGUAUUUUCAGAGUUUUUUUUUUCAUUUCUUUCAAGUAUUUUUUUUAUAUUUUUAAAUACUUUUUUUAUUAA